rnacentral:rRNA from 1 species
AGAGCGAACGCUGGCGGCGUGCUUAACACAUGCAAGUCGAACGCGCAGCAUUCUGUAGCAAUACAGGGUGUGGGCGCGUGGCGAACGGGUGCGUAACACGUGGAUAACCUUCCUUCAGGUGGGGAAUAACCCAGUGAAAAUUGGGCUAAUACCGCAUAACAAAACGAUGAGACCUCUUGUUGUUUUCAAAGGCGCAAGUCGCCAGAAGAGGGAUCCGCGGCCGAUUAGCUUGUUGGCGAGGUAAUGGCUCACCAAGGCAAUGAUCGGUAGCCGGACUGAGAGGUUGGCCGGCCACACUGGAACUGAGACACGGUCCAGACUCCUACGGGAGGCAGCAGUGGGGAAUCUUGCACAAUGGGCGAAAGCCUGAUGCAGCAACGCCGCGUGGGGAUGAAGCUUCUCGGAGUGUAAACCCCUUUCGACCCGGAAGAAAGCCCGCAAGGGUUUGACGGUACGGGUAUAAGGAACGCCCGGCUAACUACGUGCCAGCAGCCGC